rnacentral:sRNA from 1 species
GAAUGCAAUCUUGUUGUGCCAUUAGACACCUCAUUGAUCAUGGGGAUUGAUUUGGCUGAUCCAGCUGGCUAGAUGAGUUACCUCCCUCUCACUUCAUAUGUGUUAUUCCCAAAGAUGCAUGCAGAGUCAAAGAAGACAACCUUUCCCAGUAGAGGAGAACCAUUCUUUGAUACAGGGUGUAUGAGCAGGAUACAUCCCCUUGCCAAAACCUCCAAACAACUACAUACAUUUUUUUUUAU